GGAUUUCUGAGAGCAGCAACAGAUGGGCCAAUAGCGUUAGCUCUCAGCCUGAAGAAGCCAGCUGGUGCCCAGAUGGGGAAACUGAGGCACAGAGGUGGACAUGCUGCAUCUGAGGUGCACAGAGGGUGUGUGGAAGAAGAAGGAUUCGAACCCAGGACUCCUGAGUCCCAGCCAUUAAUCACUAGGCACCGUUCCCUGCCGCCCGGGACAGCCACGAAGACUUUCCUCAUCCAUUGGCUGCACUUUCCCAUUCUGUUCAUAGGAAAAGUGCAGUCAGCACCAGACGUGGUAGCUCGUUUCGGGGGGGACGUCACCCUGAGCUGCCUCUUCCCGUCCCAGCCUGGGAUGAACCUCCAGCAUCUGACCCUCACCUGGCAGAAGGAGCGGGCGGGGGCAGAGGCCCUGG